AGGACGAACGCUGGCGGCGUGCUUAACACAUGCAAGUCGAGCGGAAAGGCCCUUCGGGGUACUCGAGCGGCGAACGGGUGAGUAACACGUGAGUAAUCUGCCCCUAGCUCUGGGAUAGCUCCGGGAAACCGGGAUUAAUACCGGAUACGACCACUUUAGACAUCUGUUGUGGUGGAAAGAAUUUUGGCUAGGGAUGAGCUCGCGGCCUAUCAGCUUGUUGGUGGGGUAAUGGCCUACCAAGGCGACGACGGGUAGCCGGCCUGAGAGGGCGACCGGCCACACUGGGACUGAGACACGGCCCAGACUCCUACGGGAGGCAGCAGUGGGGAAUAUUGCGCAAUGGGCGAAAGCCUGACGCAGCGACGCCGCGUGGGGGAUGGAAGGCCUUCGGGUUGUAAACCCCUUUCAGCAGGGACGAAGCGAAAGUGACGGUACCUGCAGAAGAAGCGCCGGCUAACUACGCGCCAGCAGCCGC
rnacentral:rRNA from 1 species